rnacentral:rRNA from 1 species
AGUGAACGCUGGCGGUAGGCCUAACACAUGCAAGUCGAACGGCAGCACAGUAAGAUCUUUCUCUUACGGUUGGCGAGUGGCGGACGGGUGAGGAAUACAUCGCAAUCUACUUUUUCGUGGGGGAUAACGUAGGGAAACUUACGCUAAUACCGCAUACGACCUACGGGUGAAAUCAGGGGAUCUUCGGACCUUUCGCGAUUGAUUGAGCCGAUGUCGGAUUAGCUAGGUGGGAAGGUAACGGCCUACCAAGGCGACGAUCCGUAGCUGAUCUGAGAGGAUGAUCGGCCAAACUGGAACUGAGACACGGUCCAGACUCCGACGGGAGGCAGCAGUAGGGAAUCUUACGCAAUGGGCGGAAGCCUGACGGAGCAACGCCGCGUGAGUGAUGAAGGUCUUCGGAUCGUAAAACUCUGUUAUUAGGGAAGAACAAAUGUGUAAGUAACUAUGCACGUCUUGACGGUACCUAAUCAGAAAGCCACGGCUAACUACGUG